GCUGAGGCCUGUCCCGACAGACCUUUACCCGUAGGCCCACGUCGUUGGAAAUGCCUCGCAUAUUAAAUCUGUGGUUUCGCUUUACCCACAUGUCCACUGCCAUGAGCUCUGUGGGAUAUUACUGCAGAACAUCA
ensembl:snoRNA